AUUGAACGCUGGCGGCAGGCCUAACACAUGCAAGUCGAGCGGAGCGGCGGACGGGUGAGUAAUGCCUAGGAAUCUGCCUGGUAGUGCGGGAUAACGUCCGGUAACGGCCCCUAAUCCCGCAUCCUAUCAGAUGCGCCUAGGUCGGCUUAGCUAGUUGUUGUGGGAAUGGCCUACCAAGGCGACGAUCCGUAACUGGUCUGAGAGGAUGACCAGCAACACUGGAACUGAGACACGGUCCAGACGCCUAAGGGAGGCAGCAGGGGGGAAUAGUGCACAAGGGGCGCAAGCCUGAUGCAGCCAUGCCGCGUGUAUGAAGAAGGCCUGCGGGUUGUAAAGGACGUUCAGCGGGGAGGCGUUACCCGCAGAAGAAGCACCGGCUAACUCCGUGCCAGCAGCCGCGGUAAUAC
rnacentral:rRNA from 1 species